rnacentral:rRNA from 1 species
GACGAACGCUGGCGGCGUGCUUAACACAUGCAAGUCGAACGGAAAGGCUCCAGCUUGCUGGAGUACUCGAGUGGCGAACGGGUGUGUAACACGUGGGUAAUCUGCCCUGCACUCUGGGAUAAGCCUGGGAAACUGGGUCUAAUACUGGAUAUGACCUUUCUCCUUAUGGGGUUUGGUGGAAAGUUUUUCGGUGUAGGAUGAGCCCGCGGCCUAUCAGCUUGUUGGUGGGGUGAUGGCCUACCAAGGCGACGACGGGUAGCCGGCCUGAGAGGGUGAUCGGCCACAUUGGGACUGAGAUACGGCCCAGACUCCUACGGGAGGCAGCAGUGGGGAAUAUUGCACAAUGGGCGGAAGCCUGAUGCAGCGACGCCGCGUGAGGGAUGACGGCCUUCGGGUUGUAAACCUCUUUCAGCAGGGACGAAGCGUAAGUGACGGUACCUGCAGAAGAAGCACCGGCUAACUAUGUG